GUGGCUUUUUCCAUCUAUAGAAGGGCUAAAUAUGGCAAAUAUUUUCUAUUAAAAGGUUGGGGUGGAGUUGAGAGCAGCUUUUUCAUAUUAUAUACACAGGCCUUCUAUAAACGGCCAGUAAAUCUUCCCAAAGGGUGGUGGGCAUUUCCAACGGGCCAAACAUGGCCUGUCAUUCUACUAUUUCUCUCUUCCAGCAGCAAGGUCUAGUAGCACUAAGACCAACCGCCCGAUGGCCGCUAACUGUUCUACCGGUCGUCGUUCGGGACUCCGUUCUCCUUCUAGGCCAGUUAAGGCCUUUGUCCGUUGAGGGUAAUCACUUUGAUCAACAUGACGAAGGACACUUGGAAACUGAACAAGCAUCACUUGACAAGCCUACAGAAUCCAUAAGAUGGAUCAUUGCUUAAUUUCGGGUCUUAGCCAGUUAGAUUUACCUUCAGCUUUAACGAAAAAUUGGCCGUCAAAACCUGAGUCCUGUCCUCUUGCUCUCCUCCCUGGACAGCAUGAACUUCACCACUUGCUCCACCUUCUCCACCAACUACCAGUCGCUGGGCACUGUCCAGGCACCCAGCUAUGUGC
rnacentral:lncRNA from 1 species